CCUACGGGUGACAGCAGUGAGGAAUAUUGGUCAAUGGGCGCGCGCCUGAACCAGCCAAGUCGCGUGAGGGAAGACGGUCCUAUGGAUUGUAAACCUCUUUUGUCGGGGAGCAACAGACGCUACGCGUGGCGUUCCGGGAGGUCCCGAAGAAAAAGCCUCGGCGAACCACGGUACAGCAGCCGCGGGAAUACGGAGGAUGCGAGGGUUAUUCGGAAUUAUUGGGGUUAAAGGGUUCGUAGGCGGAAUAUCAAGUCAGCGGUAAAAUUGAGGGGCUCAACCUCUUCGAGCCGUUGAAACUGGUGUUCUUGAGUGAGUGAGAAGUAUGCGGAAUGCGUGGUGUAGCGGUGAAAUGCAUAGAUAUCACGCAGAACUCCGAUUGCGAAGGCAGCAUACCGGCGCCCAACUGACGCUGAUGCACGAAAGUGUGGGUAUCGAACAGGAUUAGAUACCCGGGUAGUC
rnacentral:rRNA from 1 species